GAACUGCGGAAGGAUCAUUACCGAGUGUAGGGUUCCUAGCGAGCCCAACCUCCCACCCGUGUUUACUGUACCUUAGUUGCUUCGGCGGGCCCGCCAUUCAUGGCCGCCGGGGGCUCUCAGCCCCGGGCCCGCGCCCGCCGGAGACACCACGAACUCUGUCUGAUCUAGUGAAGUCUGAGUUGAUUGUAUCGCAAUCAGUUAAAACUUUCAACAAUGGAUCUCUUGGUUCCGGCAUCGAUGAAGAACGCAGCGAAAUGCGAUAACUAGUGUGAAUUGCAGAAUUCCGUGAAUCAUCGAGUCUUUGAACGCACAUUGCGCCCCCUGGUAUUCCGGGGGGCAUGCCUGUCCGAGCGUCAUUGCUGCCCAUCAAGCACGGCUUGUGUGUUGGGUCGUCGUCCCCUCUCCGGGGGGGACGGGCCCCAAAGGCAGCGGCGGCACCGCGUCCGAUCCUCGAGCGUAUGGGGCUUUGUCACCCGCUCUGUAGGCCCGGCCGGCGCUUGCCGAACGCAAAUCAAUCUUUUUCCAGGUUGACCUCGGAUCAGUUAGGAUACCCGCUGACU
rnacentral:rRNA from 1 species